UACAGAGACUGCAAGCGUUAUCCGGAAUCAUUGGGCGUAAAGGGUGUGUAGGCGGUUUGGUUAGUCUUUUGUUAAAAUUUCGAGCUCAACUCGAAACUUGCAGAGGAAACGGCCAGACUAGAGGGUGCAAGAGGUGAAUGGAACUCAUGGAGUAGGGGUGAAAUCCGUUGAUAUCAUGGGGAACACCAAAGGCGAAGGCAAUUCACUGGUGCACAUCUGACGCUGAAACACGAAAGCGUGGGUAGCGAACGGG
rnacentral:rRNA from 1 species